rnacentral:rRNA from 1 species
UACGUAGGGUGCAAGCGUUAAUCGGAAUUACUGGGCGUAAAGCGUGCGCAGGCGGUUUUGUAAGUCUGACGUGAAAUCCCCGGGCUCCAACCUGGGAAUUGCGUUGGAGACUGCAAGGCUGGAGUCUGGCAGAGGGGGGUAGAAUUCCACGUGUAGCAGUGAAAUGCGUAGAGAUGUGGAGGAACACCGGAUGGCGCAAGGCAGCCCCCUGGGUCAAGACUGACGCUCAUGCACGAAAGGCGUGGGAGCAAACGAGG